rnacentral:rRNA from 1 species
GACGAACGCUGGCGGCGUGCUUAACACAUGCAAGUCGAACGGUGAAGCGCCUUCCUUUUUGGUGGGUGUGGAUGAGUGGCGAACGGGUGAGUAACACGUGAGUAACCUGCCCCCUUCUUCUGGAUAACCGCAUGAAAGUGUGGCUAAUACGGGAUAUUCUGGGUCUGUCGCAUGAUGGGUCUGGGAAAGAUAUUGUUUCGGUGGGGGAUGGGCUCGCGGCCUAUCAGCUUGUUGGUGGGGUGAUGGCCUACCAAGGCGGUGACGGGUAGCCGGCCUGAGAGGGUGGACGGUCACACUGGGAAUGAGACACGGCCCAGACUCCUACGGGAGGCAGCAGUGGGGAAUAUUGCACAAUGGGCGCAAGCCUGAUGCAGCGACGCCGCGUGAGGGAUGGAGGCCUGCGGGUUGUGAACCUCUUUCGCCAGUGAAGCAGGCCUGCCUCGUUUGUGGGUGGGUUGACGGUAGCUGGAUAAGAAGCGCCGGCUAACUACGUG